UGGGAAUCUGCCUAGUAGUGGGGAAUAACCUGGGGAAACUCAGGCUAAUACCGCAUACGCCCUACGGGGGAAAGCGGGGUUCGCCUCGUGCUAUUAGAUGAGCCCACGUCCGAUUAGCUUGUUGGUGAGGUAACGGCUCACCAAGGCGACGAUCGGUAGCUGGUCUGAGAGGAUGAUCAGCCACACUGGGACUGAGACACGGCCCAGACUCCUACGGGAGGCAGCAGUGGGGAAUAUUGGACAAUGGGCGAAAGCCUGAUCCAGCAAUGCCGCGUGUGUGAAGAAGGCCUGCGGGUUGUAAAGCACUUUCAGUGGGGAGGAAACACAACGGGUUAAUACCCCGUUGGAUUGACGUUACCCACAGAAGAAGCACCGGCUAACUCCGUGCCAGCAGCCGCGGUAAGACGGAGGGUGCAAGCGUUAAUCGGAAUUACUGGGCGUAAAGCGCACGUAGGCGGCUGAGUAAGUCGGAUGUGAAAGCCCCGGGCUUAACCUGGGAAUUGCAUUCGAUACUGCUCGGCUAGAGUUUGGUAGAGGGAAGCGGAAUUUCCGGUGUAGCGGUGAAAUGCGUAGAUAUCGGAAGGAACACCAGUGGCGAAGGCGGCUUCCUGGACCAAAACUGACGCUGAGGUGCGAAAGCGUGGGUAGCAAACAGGAUUAGAUACCCUGGUAGUCCACGCCCUAAACGAUGAGAACUAGACGUUGGGGGUAUUUAGACCCUUUGUGUCGCAGCAAACGCGUUAAGUUCUCCGCCUGGGGAGUACGGCCGCAAGGUUGAAACUCAAAGUAAUUGACGGGGGCCUGCACAAGCGGUGGAGCAUGUGGUUUAAUUCGAUGCAACGCGAAGAACCUUACCUGCCCUUGACAUCCUCGGAACCCUGCAGAGAUGCGGGGGUGCCUUCGGGAACCGAGUGACAGGUGCUGCAUGGCUGUCGUCAGCUCGUGUCGUGCGAUGUUGGGUUAAGUCCAGCAAAGAGGGCAACCCUUGUCCCUAGUAGCCAGCGGUUCGGCCGGGAAUUCUAGGGAGACUGCUGGUGAUAAACCGGAGGAAGGUGGGGAGGACGUCAAGUCAUCA
rnacentral:rRNA from 1 species